rnacentral:rRNA from 1 species
UACGUAGGGGCUAGCGUUGUCCGGAAUCAUUGGGCGUAAAGCGCGCGUAGGCGGCCCGGUAAGUCCGCUGUAAAAGUCAAAGGCUCAACCUUUGAAUGUCAGUGGAUACUGCCGGGCUAGAGUCCGGAAGAGGCGAGUGGAACUCCUGGUGUAGCGGUGGAAUGCGCAGAUAUCUGGAGGAACACCGGUGGCGAAGGCGGCAUUCUGGACCAAUAUUGACGCUGAGGAGCGAAAGCCAGGGGAGCAACGGGG